UGAUGAAUGUAUGGGUAGUGAUGGUAACGAGACUAGUAUUAAGAUGUUAUGUGGUGAUGAAGGUAUCAGGUGUGUCAAUCAACCAGGUACAUAUACCUGUGAUUGUAGAGGUCAAUACGAAUAUGACAUGACAACCAAAAAAUGUACAUUGGUGGAUUAUUGUAAAAGUAGUCCAUGUAAAAACGAUGCUACAUGUGUCAAUGUGCGAGCGGAGACGAAUUACGCAUGCAAAUGUACAUAUGGUUAUACAGGCCAGAACUGUCAGGAAGAAGAUCUAGAAGCAAUGAGACAGCGAACGAUUAUUAUAGCCGUAUCUGUUACGCUGGGUUUACUGUGUUUGCUGCUGCUUAUUGCCCUUUGCGUUGUUUGUGCUAGAAGCUCGCGGAAGAAAUCCCAUCGUCACUCAAUAAACAUGGAGGAGUAUUCGACGUUUAAAGGUUUGCCGCGAGCCCACCUACGAGGAGAAGACAAUGCCAUGAUGGAGAAUGGUAGUACACAAAACCUUUAUGAACCUGACAAUAGUUUAAAGGAUGAGAAACAAACGGAUACAGACAAAGUAACGUACUUUAAUUAUGAGACACUGGAGAGAAAUCGCCAUGACGACGAUUACGGAACGGGAGAUAGAAUAUAUGCAGAUCCAGCUGUUCCAUUUUAGAAUUAUCAUUCAUUCAUUGUUUAACGUUUUGAACUCUUCUAGAGAGGUAGAAAUGUUAUCAUUUUAAUUGCCAUACCAUUCACUUUAAUCAUUGAAUUAAAAAAUAGAUUACAGUGUUGGCCUGGAGUCUGACCAGGCCCAUAGCUAGUAGAAAGGAACCGUGCCCUUUCCACUGGACGCAAUACUAAGCCACCUUCCAACGUUACCAUAUCAGUAUGGGCUACGACCCCACCCCUUUCCAAUGCUAGCUACGGGCCUGACAACAAACGGCAAAACAGAGCAUUUUUAAAUUAAAGUCAAGAAGUUUAAAUUUGAUAUAAGAUACUCUUAACGAAUGUAGUCGGGAAUGGUCAAGGUCAAAGGUCAAACGUCAAUAUACCAAGUCAAAUACUUCCAAUUUGGUGAUUUGAGUUUAAAAUAUUUUCUGCAGAUGUUUCUUUUUUUACGUUUGUAGGCCUUUAUAGAUAUUCAGUUAAAGUUCUUUAUUAAGAUAAUUUUAAAAUAUUUUAAUUUAACAAAUUUUUGCGUGUUUUUUUUUUUUUCAAACUUGUCUGUAACAUUGACUGAAGUGAAUAAUAACGAUCUUGAUCGUAAAGUUUUAAUGUAUUUAGCUUCGUAUUUCAUUUAUUAGCCAGAUAUAACUAACAGAUUUUAUUAUUAUAAAUUAUAUAUAUAUUAUAAACCGAAAGUUUUAAAUUGGACAGUGACAUGUUACUAUGCUCCCAUACCACUAUAACAGAUCGUCCGCAGGCUGGAUAACCUACUCUCUUAACCCGACAUGUUACUACGCUCACUAUCACAGAUCAUCACCAGGCUGGAUAACCUAGUCUAUUAUAUACACAUUGGCACCAUUUCACUUGUAAACAGGAAGUUUCAAACUUACUACGUUCCAUACCUCUAUCAACACACUGGAUAACCUAUUCUAAAUGACAUCAGGCCGUUAUAUCACUUCCGUGUUCAGUCAGACAUAUGGAAUGAUAAAAUGCCUAAUUGAUAGUUCUAUAGUAGUCGACAGAAUCCAGUCCCUUGAGUUUAGAUUCACGAAAUGUGUGUAUAUACAUCUAUAUAUAUAGGCUUCGUUAUAUUAUUUAUACUCUUUUAAUAUUCUCUUCAUUUGCUCAAUUCUGUAUUUAAAUAUAUAAAAUUGAUUAAAUGGAAAUAUGCGAAUAAAUCUAAGCUUAUUUACAUAAUAUUACAGAAUUUUAGAAAUUUGAAUAACCACUGUUGUAGAGAUGGUUGAAGUUAAUCGGAAAUUCAUAUUUUAUAUUGAG